rnacentral:rRNA from 1 species
CUGGCGGCGUGCCUAAUACAUGCAAGUCGAACGGUCUUUCUAUGGAAGCUUGCUUCCACUGAGAAGAUAGUGGCGAACGGGUGAGUAACACGUGGGUAACCUGCCCAUAAGAGGGGGGAUAACAUCCGGAAACGGGUGCUAAUACCGCAUAGUUUUCUUGAUCGCAUGAUCGGGAAAGGAAAGACGGCCUUUGUGCUGUCGCUUAUGGAUGGACCCGCGGCGUAUUAGUUAGUUGGUGAGGUAACGGCUCACCAAGACGAUGAUACGUAGCCGACCUGAGAGGGUGAUCGGCCACAUUGGGACUGAGACACGGCCCAAACUCCUACGGGAGGCAGCAGUAGGGAAUCUUCCGCAAUGGACGAAAGUCUGACGGAGCAACGCCGCGUGAGUGAAGAAAGGUUUUCGGAUCGUAAAACUCUGUUGUCAGAGAAGAACAAGUUGGAGAGUAACUGCUCCAGCCUUGACGGUAUCUGACCAGAAAGCCACGGCUAACUACGUGCCAGCCGCAGC